UACGAAGGGUGCAAGCGUUACUCGGAAUUACUGGGCGUAAAGGGUGCGUAGGCGGUUCGUUAAGUCUGUCGUGAAAUCCCCGGGCUCAACCUGGGAAUGGCGAUGGAUACUGGCGAGCUAGAGUGUGUCAGAGGAUGGUGGAAUUCCCGGUGUAGCGGUGAAAUGCGUAGAGAUCGGGAGGAACACCAGCGGCGAAGGCGGCCUUCUGGACCAAUACUGACGCUCAUGCACGAAAGCGUGGGGAGCAAACAGG
rnacentral:rRNA from 1 species